rnacentral:ncRNA from 2 species
UCAUGGCGAAAUGGGAUGAACCAUACGUCUGAAUAAGGUGCCGAAAUGUACUAUCACUGAUACCAUAAAGGGAGUCCAUGUAUUUAGACAGCAGGUCGGUGCCCCUAAAAGCAGGUAUCCGCUAAAGAGUGUGUUAAAACUCACCUGCCGAAUACUAGGGCCCCGAAAAUGAAUGGCGCAUAUAGUACUACCGAUCUCAGACAUCAGUUCUAUUGAACUGAGAGUAGGGGGAUGUGGACAUUUUUGUGAAGGUGCAAUGUGAGUUGGACUGGAAGAAUGUCUAUUACAGAUCCUAAUUGAAGUAGCGAUUAUCCAGGCUUGUAUCCUGGGGGCUGAUGAGGAGUAGGGUUUCUGGACAACUUAAACAGAUCCAGAGUUAGUCGAUCCUAAUCUCAAUAAUGGGAGAAAGGGAGUACAGUUGAUAUUCUGUAACUGACAACAGUUCGCGGCAACGCAUACUAUUUUUCUCCGCCAAUCUUAUACCGUUGGUAGGGAUCUCUUUCCUACAUGACAGUACUAAUACCCAGGGAAACUGGUCAUCAGGCGAACUGCGGCGUUCUGCUGGCAAAACAUAGCUUCGGUUAUGUCAAUGGCUAUUGGAUUGGUCCAUGAAGCGAAAAAUAGUUUACUGUGUCACUCGUACCGAUAACCGCAUCAGGUCUUCUAGGUAAGUAGCCUAUGGCCAUUGAGGCAUGAUAGUUCAGGGAAUUCGGCCAAUUAGAGCUGUAACUUCGGGAUAAAGCUUGGCUCUGAUGAAAAUCAGAACCGAUUGUUACGCGGAGAGCCCAACUGUUUAAUAAAAACGUAGUGUCGCGCUGUGGUAGUAUAGCCAGUGAACGCGACAUGAAUCCUGCUCAGUGCUGUGUCUGUUAAUAUGGUUCAAGCCAACGAAGCACCGGUAAAUAGCUGGGGUAACUAUGACUCUUAUCAAAGUAGCGAAAUACCUCGUCACUUAAUUUAGUGACCUGCAUGAACGGAGCUAUGAGGUUCUCACUGUCCCAAACUGUC